GUACUGCUGAGGAGUCCCAAAAUAGGACGAAACGGCCGUCCAGUGC
rfam:Schistosoma haematobium scaffold994_8, whole genome shotgun sequence.